rnacentral:rRNA from 1 species
UACGUAUGGUGCAAGCGUUAUCCGGAUUUACUGGGUGUAAAGGGAGCGUAGACGGAGUGGCAAGUCUGAUGUGAAAACCCGGGGCUCAAUCUUAAAAUUGCAGUUGAAACUGGAGACCUUGAGUACGGUUGAGGCAGGCGGAAUUCGUGGUGUAGCGGUGAAAUGCUUAGAUAUCACGAAGAACCCCGAUUGCGAAGGCAGCCUGCUAAGCCGCCACUGACGUUGAGGCUCGAAAGUGCGGGUAUCAAACAGG